ensembl:lncRNA
CUCCUACUUCCCGCCUGUGGUUAAACCUUGCCUCAGGUCUGCUCUCUCGGGGAAGGCUAAGCCACCUGGUUUUCCAGUCUAACCAUUAAGUGAAACCCAGCCCCGUUCUCCCUGAGCACCUGUGUGCAGGGCACUGACACACGCCAGCGUGAGCAAGCGUGAGUUUGCACCGGACACACCUCAGCCCAGACGCUGCCUCUGCUACUGCCCAGCUAUGCGACCACAGACAAGUCACUGAAUCUUCCUGGAUUUUAUCUAGUAGGGACCUCAUAAAAAUCUUGCAUGGUAAUCAGACAGAAAUUGGCCCAUUUGACAGAUAAAAUACUGAGACAGAAGUUGAGUAACUUCCCUAACUCACAGUGAGCGGGGGUGUUAGAAAUCUCUCCCUCAUAUUUCUCUACCGACGUUUGCGUUUUAUUUGACGUGCUCAACAAUUACCACAGUCAGCUGCAAUGCUUCACUCUCCCUUUUAAAAUAAAGAUCAACAUGCGCACUCAAAUUCUCUCAAGGACACUGUAGCCAGCACUUAAAAAGUGAAUAUUCCAUGAACCUGGUCUUUGGCAUCGUGAAGACCAAAACGAAAGUUUAAGAAAUCGCUUAAAAAGUUAAAUAAACAAGUUUAAUAAAUCGAGUUCACAUUGUAAACAUCUACACUGCUGAAAACGUUUUGAUGGUUGGGAAAUUUUUGGCAGCCACGUGCUAAACAUCAAAAGUAAUUCUGUAGGCAGCCGUAGGGUUUUUUCGAUGCGUUUCAAGGGACCAACAUCUCAAAAACACUGCUGAGAACCGUGGCCUCGUUCUCAACAAAGCACAAGCAGCCUUAGACCACAGCUGACGUGGUGCUGGCCGGCACCGGUGCAGGGCUCGCAGGCGCACCUGCACGGUUGUGGCACCAAGAACAACUGUGAAAUAUACAACCCACGCUUGCUGGAGUCCAGCUCCUAACAGUGUUGGAAACUAAAGACACCUUGACUAUCAAGCUAUAGAAACAGAACAAUGGCAAUGUUGUACGUGAAACACAGCUGCUCGUCUACACUGGCUUCAAUACUGUUGUCCGUGCCCACUCCACACCACAGUAGGGGCCCACCAGGUUUCCUUGGUGAGUUUCCUUGAAUUUCGGUGAAGCCCCACGGCUGCCAAUGAAAGGAAAAGGGAGAUAGGAAACGUCAGCACAGAGUCAGAGAUGGAAACGCUAACAGCUGCGUAGAUCAGAGCAGGAGGCCUGCUCUGCCAGGAUGUCCCUAAGCCCUAGAGGAGGCAGUGUGGACCACCGUGACAUCUUCAGGUGUGGGGAGUGAGCUGCCAAGACUGACGGGUGGAUCUUAUUACAGAGCCCACAAGAGCCCUGCUCUCCUCCGCUCACGUGCGCUCAAUACAACACCUUCCCGUGACCACACACCCACCGGGCACACGCUUGCUGCCGCGGCCGCCAGCACUGCUCCAGACGCAGAGUGUGGGCUGAGAAGAGGGAAACCUCUGCCCUCAGGAGCUCUUGCUUUUCUGGGGAAGACAAAACAAGAAGUAACAAAGACAAUCCUUGCAAGCGUCAUGUCUGUAGAUUGUAAUAAAUGCAGUAAAAGAAGUAGAUAGGGUUAUAGGACUGUGAGCGAUGACAAAGACUCCCCGCUUUAGGCCCAAACUGUAGUCAGGCCCCUCGGAGCCCUCUCCCCCACUGGCUGGGCCUGCAGAGCCCGUUUUAGCAAGAAUCCUGCCAAGUCCAUUUAGAGAGAGUCGCUCCCCCCGGAUAUCUGACCGAUUGCCUCACCCCACCCUCACCCGCAAGUGAUGCCUGCUGGCCCCGGCCUGCCCCAGCCAGAAUCCUGCUAGGCAGUCUAGACAGGACCCUAUCUUGCCAUGUCCUGAACCGAAGGGAGAGACGUGCUAUUUUUGGUAAGCUGGGUGAGGCAAGACCCCUCUGAAGAGCUCGGGCCUGAAGGAUGAGGAGGAGCCAGACUCGCAGGAGGGAAGGAAAGCAGUCCUCACUGAGAGGGGCUGGACGCGGCGCUGGCCACGGGAGUCUCCACAGCCUCACCCUCGGGGCGGAGGCAGAACAGCCAGAUCCAUGGUUUGUCUAGAAUUGUUAGCUCGAGACACAGGAAGAGCUAAAUAGCCCUGAAGUUUCCCAUGAGGAGAUGAAAGAGAAUGAAGCAUAAAGCUACAGCCUGACGUCGGAAGGCCCCUUUAUUGAAGCAAUAUCCCGGGCGGCUCAGGGGACCCAGACUUCAUUACCCGCACAGCUGUGCCCCGUCUUUCCUCGGCCAACCCUUAUUCAGAAGGACGCCAGACAACCAAAGAGUCAGAAAAAAACAGUGUAUGAGCUUUGGAAAAGCUGGGACGUCCUGCCCAGAGCGGAAUACGGUUUCCAAAGCCGCCUGCCCGGUAGGAGACAAGCAGGACUGAAGGAGAGGGGCCGAUUGGCACUUAGUCCUUCUGUCUCCCCAGCAUCCACCUCCCUCUGCCCUCCGUCUACUUAGAGGUCAGAGGGGAAAGAUUGCAAGGUGGAGGUGUGUUGAGUUUCUCACCUCCUGAGAAUGUUUCCCAAAGCAGUUAGAUGACAACAAAAUGCCUUUCAUUAAAAGUUUACAGACAGAAGAUAUAUAAACAGCCAACAGCGUGUGAAAAGAUGCUCCCCACCAUCCGUCACUAGAGAAAUGCAAGUCAAAAGCAC